GAUGAACGCUGGCGGCGUGCCUAAUACAUGCAAGUCGAGCGAACAGACGAGGAGCUUGCUCCUCUGACGUUAGCGGCGGACGGGUGAGUAACACGUGGAUAACCUACCUAUAAGACUGGGAUAACUUCGGGAAACCGGAGCUAAUACCGGAUAAUAUAUUGAACCGCAUGGUUCAAUAGUGAAAGACGGUUUUGCUGUCACUUAUAGAUGGAUCCGCGCCGCAUUAUCUAGUUGGUAAGGUAACGGCUUACCAAGGCAACGAUGCGUAGCCGACCUGAGAGGGUGAUCGGCCCCACUGGAACUGAGACACGGACCAGACUCCUACGGGAGGCAGCAGUAGGGAAUCUUCCGCAAUGGGCGAAAGCUUGACGGAGCAACGCCGCGUGAGUGAUGAAGGUCUUCGGAUCGUAAAACUCUGUUAUUAGGGAAGAACAAAUGUGUAAGUAACUAUGCACGUCUUGACGGUACCUAAUCAGAAAGCCACGGCUAACUACGUG
rnacentral:rRNA from 1 species